ACUUCUCUUCCCUCUUCCAAAGAAUCUACCUGUGAGUUCCUUAAUCAAGCCUUCCUAGUGCAGAGACUUCUAUUAAGGAAAGAGAACAGGAAUGAGCCUGCAGCUGUCUCCUCCACCCCACCCAACCCCACCCCCCGUCCCCAAGGUGAGGGGCGAUGAAGAAGAUAGCAAGCGGACAUCCAGAUGGGCGAAGCCAGAAAGUGCAACUGGGGUGUCUCGAUGAGGGCACUAGCUGCCAUACUGCCCACUAAACAAACUCAAAGGGAGCAUGAUGUCCUGUCCUGAGCAAGACGAGGAACAGGGGCUGAGUCUAUAGCUGCUGAUCCCAGUUACUCGGCACCUGUGGAUUUCAACUUACAGGGACUUCAAGGACAUCAAGGUUAGAGAAGCCGCCAGGCCCACCCUUCCCCACUCUCAAUUGUUCCCACAAGGAUUUGACAUGUGCCAUGCCGGGGUUCUUCCUUACCUCAGAGUACCAUCAGCUUUGCUGCAACUUCAGUGCACAUGCCCAGCAAUGCCCUCAAACACCUUCAUGCAGUUCCUCUCCCUCGGGACUGUUCUCUGGAUAAGUGAGGACCCUUCUCACACCCCAGGUGAUUUCCCAGACUACAGAGGUAUUGCCAUUGUCCCUCCAGAGUUCUUGCUCUUCGAUUCCUGGUUCACCAUACCAUGUGGCUUCCCUUUGCCCUUCUAGAAGUGCUUACCUACAGGGAGCAUUGCAUUCUGGGGAUGGAGGAGGAACUCAGUGCUCCAGAGGGUGGAUCCCUUCCUCCACCCUAAAUGCCAUUUCCCUGUCAAUGCAGUUUUUCUGCAUUUCACCUGUUUUCUAAGACACAACUACUUUGUAUAACGCCUCUACUAGCCCCAACCUUGUUGUGACUUGGGUUCUGUCUCUUUUCAUAUAAAGAUCUAAGUACAGGGGCCUGGAGAGAUGGGUUAAGAGCACUUGCUGCUCUUCCAGUGGACCUGAUUCAGUUCCCAGCACCCACAUUGCAGCUCACAAAACUGUGUAUAACUCCAGUUUCAGAGGAUCUGACACCCUCACACAGACACAUAGACAAAACAACAGUGCGUGUAAAAUAAAUAAAUCUUUAAAGAUGCAAAAAAAAAAUCUAAGAACGGGACCACAACCUUCCCCAGGAAAUUCUUGGCAGCUCAGAUUUCUCCAUCCUGCCUUGGUCUCCUCUGGUGAGCUCUGUCUCUGUAAACAGGGCUAUAAUCAUGCUGUUCCUCCAAUGCCCUCUGCAAGGAUUAAGCCUCUAGCAGGCCAGGCUGCCCCUGGCUCAUGUACUGUCUGGACUAUAUGAGUCCAUUCUCCAACUCAAGAGCUCUAGAGGACAUGACAAGGAGCAUGGCUUUGUCAGAAUGUUACUUGGGAAAAGCAGAGUGCUCUGAAGUGUUAAAUGCCAUGGAUAGGGGCUGGAGAGGCAGCUCAGCAGCUAUGAGCACUUGUCACUCUUCAAGGGGACUGGGCUUCAGUUAACAGCACCCACAUGGUAGCUCACAAUCACCCAUGACUCCAGUUCCAGGGGAACCCAGCACCCUCUCCUGACCUUGUCAGACACCAGGCCCUAGUGUGGUGUGCAUGCACACACGAAGGCAAAACACUUAUACACAUAAAAUAAAAUGAAUAAAUCUUUUUUUUAAAAAAAAAAAAGUCUCAAAGAAAAUGCAGAGGGUGAUGGCGCACACCUUUAAUCCCAGUACUCAGGAGGUGGAGGCAGGUGAGUUUGAGGACAGCCUGAUAUCAGAGCUAGUUUUAGGACAGGCAAAGCUACACAGCAAAGAAAAACCCUGUCUCACAAAACAAAACAAAAACAAAUAAAAAGGCAUAGAGAAAAGGAAGGCCAUUAGACAGAGGGAGCCAGUGAAGCCCAUGCAUGAGGCACAGCGAUUUCCCCCCCUGCUCCCUGCCUCAUCGUUGCCUUCCAUCUAACAAAUAUCUGAUGGAGGCUUUUUGUGUGUUUUUUCAGGUUUU
ensembl:processed_transcript Gm16582 predicted gene 16582